rnacentral:lncRNA from 1 species
AAAAAGUUUUCGAGUACUGAUAACAGAGUGAAGAGAACGACAUCUCCACCAAAAGACGACUCGCCGUUUUUCUCUCUCCAGAAAUUGAAUUCUCCGACCUAAAAAGUACCCAGCAUGUCUCCUAUUUCUCAAUCUGAACUCCAUUUUUUUUUGUUGAUUUCACCACACAUUGACUGAUGGAAAUAGUUGCUGCUGAUCUCGUGGUUCGUUUGAUUAUACUCAGCAGAUCUAAGC